GAUUAACGCUAGCGGCAGGCCUAAUACAUGCAAGUCGAACGGGAUUCAAAGUAGCAAUAUUUUGAUGAGAGUGGCGCACGGGUGAGUAACACGUAUGCAAUUUACCUUUAACCGGGGGAUAGCCCUCCGAAAGGAGGAUUAAUACCGCAUAAUAUAUUGAAAUGGCAUCAUUUUAAUAUUAAACCUACGGGGGUUAAAGAUGAGCAUGCAUCCGAUUAGCUAGUUGGUGUGGUAACGGCUCACCAAGGCAACGAUCGGUAGGGGGUCUGAGAGGAUGAUCCCCCACACUGGUACUGAGACACGGACCAGACUCCUACGGGAGGCAGCAGUAAGGAAUAUUGGACAAUGGAGGCAACUCUGAUCCAGCCAUGCCGCGUGAAGGAUUAAGGCCCUAUGGGUUGUAAACUUCUUUUAGACGGGACAAAACCCCUUUACGUGUAAAGGGUUGAUGGUACUGUCAGAAUAAGCAUCGGCUAACUUCGUG
rnacentral:rRNA from 1 species